rnacentral:tRNA from 1 species
ACGGGUGGCCGAGCGGUCAAAGGCAGCAGACUGUAAAUCUGCCGCGCUACGCGCUACGAAGGUUCGAAUCCUUCCCCGUCC